CCUACGGGAGGCAGCAGUGGGGAAUAUUGGGCAAUGGGCGCAAGCCUGACCCAGCAACGCCGCGUGAAGGAAGAAGGCUUUCGGGUUGUAAACUUCUUUUGUCAGGGAAGAGUAGAAGACGGUACCUGACGAAUAAGCCACGGCUAACUACGUGCCAGCAGCCGCGGUAAUACGUAGGGGGCAAGCGGUGUCCUGAUUUACUGGGUGUAAAGGGCGUGUAGCCGGGUUGACAAGUCAGAUGUGAAAUCCUGCGGCUUAACCGCAGAACUGCAUUUGAAACUGUUGAUCUUGAGUACUGGAGAGGCAGACGGAAUUCCUAGUGUAGCGGUGAAAUGCGUAGAUAUUAGGAGGAACACCAGUGGCGAAGGCGGUCUGCUGGACAGCAACUGACGGUGAGGCGCGAAAGCGUGGGAGCAAACAGGAUUAGAUACCCCUGUAGUC
rnacentral:rRNA from 1 species